CCAACAACGCUCGGAUUUGAAUUUUAGCGGGAUAUUAGGGUUUUCACUCGGAUUGCACAUCUAUAUUUCUUCAUUUGGAUAAUAUACUUUUACUUGUACAACAAGCUUUUCACUCGGCCGAUAACUUUUCACACGACUCGCAAACCUUUCACUCGGUCGCCAACUUUUCACUCGAUUUCCCGAUUAAAAAUUCUGCUUGAUCUUGUUUUGUCUCCCAGGUUGCAUAUGAAUUGGGAUUGAUACA
rnacentral:lncRNA from 1 species